AGAAUACCGUUGAGUGCGAGCUUGGGAGACAGACAUCGGGUGCUAACGUCCGGUGUCAAGAGGGAAACAACCCAGACCGCCGAUUAAGGUCCCAAAGACAUAGUUAAGUGGGAAACGAGGUGGGAAGGCUUAGACAGCCAGGAGGUUGGCUUAGAAGCAGCCAUCCUUUAAAGAAAGCGUAAUAGCUCACUGGUCGAGUCGUCCUGCGCGGAAGAUGUAACGGGGCUCAAACUAUGCACCGAAAUCGCGGAUAUCCGCAAGGAUAUGGUAGGAGAGCGUUCUGUAAGCCGAUGAAGGUGUCUUGAGAAGGAUGCUGGAGGUAUCAGAAGUGCGAAUGCUGACAUGAGUAGCGAUAAAGGGAGUGAAAAGCUCCCUCGCCGAAAGCCCAAGGUUUCCUGCGCAACGUUCAUCGGCGCAGGGUGAGUCGGCCCCUAAGGCGAGGCUGAAAGCGUAGUCGAUGGGAACAGGUCAAUAUUCCUGUACCUCUUGGUAAUGCGAU
rnacentral:rRNA from 1 species